AGUGAACGCUGGCGGUAGGCCUAACACAUGCAAGUCGAACGGCAGCACAGUAAGAGCUUGCUCUUACGGGUGGCGAGUGGCGGACGGGUGAGGAAUAAAUCAGAAUCUACUUUUUCGUGGGGGAUAACGUAGGGAAACUUACGCUAAUACCGCAUACGACCUACGGGUGAAAGCAGGGGAUCUUCGGACCUUGCGCGAUUGAAUGAGCCGAUGUCGGAUUAGCUAGUUGGCGGGGUAAAGGCCCACCAAGGCGACGAUCCGUAGCUGGUCUGAGAGGAUGAUCAGCCACACUGGAACUGAGACACGGUCCAGACUCCUACGGGAGGCAGCAGUGGGGAAUAUUGGACAAUGGGCGCAAGCCUGAUCCAGCCAUACCGCGUGGGUGAAGAAGGCCUUCGGGUUGUAAAGCCCUUUUGUUGGGAAAGAAAAGCAGCAGGUUAAUACCCCGCUGUUCUGACGGUACCCAAAGAAUAAGCACCGGCUAACUUCGUG
rnacentral:rRNA from 1 species